GUGGGGAAUAUUGGACAAUGGGCGAAAGCCUGAUCCAGCCAUGCCGCGUGUGUGAAGAAGGUCUUCGGAUUGUAAAGCACUUUAAGUUGGGAGGAAGGGCAGUAAGUUAAUACCUUGCUGUUUUGACGUUACCGACAGAAUAAGCACCGGCUAACUUCGUGCCAGCAGCCGCGGUAAUACGAAGGGUGCAAGCGUUAAUCGGAAUUACUGGGCGUAAAGCGCGCGUAGGUGGUUUUGUAAGUUGGAGUUGAAAUCCCCGGGCUCAACCUGGGAACUGCCUCCAAAACUGCAUGACUAGAGUACGGUAGAGGGUAGUGGAAUUUCCUGUGUAGCGGUGAAAUGCGUAGAUAUAGGAAGGAACACCAGUGGCGAAGGCGACUACCUGGACUGAUACUGACACUGAGGUGCGAAAGCGUGGGGAGCAAACAGGAUUAGAAACCCCUGUAGUCC
rnacentral:rRNA from 1 species